GGAUCCGUAGUUAAAUGGAUAUAACGGAGCCCUCCUAAGGCUUUGUUGUGGGUUCGAUUCCCGCCGGGUCUACCA
rnacentral:tRNA from 1 species